rnacentral:rRNA from 1 species
GUAGGGAAUAUUGGGCAAUGGAUGCAAGUCUGACCCAGCCAUCCCGCGUGCCGGAAGAAGGCCCUCAGGGUUGUAAACGGCUUUUGACGGUGAAGAAUCGACAGGAUGCGUCCUGUUUUGACGGUAGCCGUUGAAUAAGCACCGGCUAACUCCGUGCCAGCAGCCGCGGUAAUACGGAGGGUGCGAGCUUUGUCCGGAUUUAUUGGGUUUAAAGGGUGCGUAGGCUGGAAGGUCAGUCAGCGGUGAAAAGCUAUCGCUUAACGAUAGUCUUGCCGCAGAUACUUCCUUUCUUGGAUGAGGAGGAGGCCACUGGAACGGAUGGUGUAGCGGUGAAAUGCAUAGAUAUCAUCCAGAACACCGAUUGCGAAGGCAGGUGGCUGUACCUUAAUCGACGCUGAUGCACGAAAGCAUGGGGAGCAAACAGGAUUAGAUACCCGGGUAGUCC